AGUGAACGCUGGCGGUAGGCCUAACACAUGCAAGUCGAACGGCAGCACAGUAAGCUCUUGCUCUUACGGGUGGCGAGUGGCGGACGGGUGAGGAAUACAUCGGAAUCUACUUUUUCGUGGGGGAUAACGUAGGGAAACUUACGCUACUACCUCAUACGACCUACGGCUUAAAUCAGGAGUUCUUCAGACCUUGCGCGAUUGAAUGAGCCGAUGUCGGAUUAGCUAGUUGGCAUGGUAAAGGCCCACCAAGGCGACGAUCCGUAGCUGACCUGAGAGGGUGAGCGGCGACACUGGAACUGAGAGACGGUCCAGACUCCUACGGGAGGCAGCAGGAGGGAAUCGUGCGCAAUGGGCGAAAGCCUGACGGAGCAACGCCGAGUGAGUGAUGAAGGUCUUCGGAUCGUAAAAAUCUGUUAUUAGGGAAGAACAAAUGUGGAAGUAACUAUGCACGUCUUGACGGUACCUAAUCAGAAAGCCACGGCUAACUACGGG
rnacentral:rRNA from 1 species